rnacentral:lncRNA from 1 species
AUUUUUUAUUUUUUUUUUUUCAUUAAUUUUAAAUUUUAUCUUUUUUUUUUUUUUUUAAUUUUUUUUUUUAUGUAAAUUAAUGUAAAGAGACUUUGGUUAACCUUCCCCCACACUUAAACUAAAUAACACAAACUCACAUAAAUCAACCAAAUAACACAACUAACUAAACAAAACAAAAUGAAAGCAGUAAAGAUAAGGGUGGAAGAAUGCAAAGCUGAUUGGGUUAGUGAUUCCAAAGUCUCUCUUCGUUGAAUGCUUGGGUUGCCUCCCAAGAAGCGCUUGAUUUAACGUCUUUAGCCGGACG